AGAGUUUGAUCCUGGCUCAGAACGAACGCUGGCGGCGUGCCUAACACAUGCAAGUCGAACGGAAUUAAGGGGCCUGCUCCUUAAUUUAGUGGCGCACGGGUGAGUAACGCGUGGAUAAUCUGCCUGACGAUCUGGGAUAACAUCUCGAAAGGGGUGCUAAUACCGGAUAAGCCCACGGGGACUUCGGUUCUUGCGGGAAAAGGGGGGGACCUUCGGGCCUUCUGUCGUCAGAUGAGUCCGCGUACCAUUAGCUAGUUGGUAGGGUAAAGGCCUACCAAGGCUACGAUGGUUAGCUGGUUUGAGAGAAUGAUCAGCCACACUGGAACUGAGACACGGUCCAGACUCCUACGGGAGGCAGCAGUGGGGAAUUUUGGACAAUGGGCGAAAGCCUGAUCCAGCAAUGCCGCGUGCAGGAUGAAGGCCUUCGGGUUGUAAACUGCUUUUGUACGGAACGAAAAGUCUCGGGAUAAUACCCUGGGACCAUGACGGUACCGUAAGAAUAAGCACCGGCUAACUACGUGCCAGCAGCCGCGGUAAUACGUAGGGUGCAAGCGUUAAUCGGAAUUACUGGGCGUAAAGCGUGCGCAGGCGGUUAUAUAAGACAGAUGUGAAAUCCCCGGGCUCAACCUGGGAACUGCAUUUGUGACUGUAUAGCUAGAGUACGGUAGAGGGGGAUGGAAUUCCGCGUGUAGCAGUGAAAUGCGUAGAUAUGCGGAGGAACACCGAUGGCGAAGGCAAUCCCCUGGACCUGUACUGACGCUCAUGCACGAAAGCGUGGGGAGCAAACAGGAUUAGAUACCCUGGUAGUCC
rnacentral:rRNA from 1 species